UUUCGGCGCCCGGUAUACGGCGAGUUCGCGUAGACUUCCGCGUGCUCCGGUGAGAGUAUGUCCCGGGGCCGCCAAGUUAAGCGUGCCGACGUGCGGCAGAAGCAGGGGCGCGGAUCUUCCUCGGCAUUAGCUAAGAACGGCGGACUCCGCGCGGGGAAAGGGAAAGGGACGCGCUUCGCUUUUCGGCGAGCUGGUCCGGCCGCGCGGCCGGUGCGAAUUCGAAGCGAGGCGAGGCAGGGAGGGGGGGCAGCGAACCGCAGAGCACGCUUGGUCGUCGCCGCCGCAGUGGAGCAGCUGAGGGAGGAAGAAGAAUACGAAGGCGUUCGAGCGAGAGGGGUCCUCCCCAGAAUCGAGCACGCCGCGACGAGGAAAAGUGGCGCGCAGUCAGUCAGUCUCGCCCGCUCGACCGAUGCCGCCGUCGCUGCAGCUGAAGAAGAAGAGCCACGCCACGCGAUCGACGACGGUGUGGGCUGCUACCGUACUCUAGCCGCGGGGCGUCGUUGUGGGAUGGCGUCGCCGCGUCGUAGUCGCCGCCGCACGUGCUGCUACAGCCUUUGAGGAGGAGAUGGCAUCGCCGAAUCCGUGAGACGCGCCCCCAAAGCCCCCGCCGCCGCAAGAUAUGAAAGCGGCCGUGGCGCUGCUGGCGGCCUGCUGCCUAGCAGCCUGCUGUGAUGCGGGACACAUCAUUCCGUGGCUACACAUCAGCAAGAGCAUAUUUAUCAAGCCGGUCAAGUACGUGUACAAGGAGAUUCCGAUCUACAAGACCAUCCCGGUGUACAAGACCAUCCCCGUGUAUAAAACCAUUCCCGUGGUGAAAGAGAUCAAGGUGGUCAAAGAGGCCCACAAGGACGAGUGGCAGGACGAGCACAAGGACGAGUGGCAGGACGAGCACCCCACGUACUCCGACGGCUGGAAGGGCCAGUCGGGAGGCGGCUGGGCCUCGCCCGGAGGCUGGGAGUCCUCCGGUCCGUGGGAGUCCAAGCCGUGGGAGUCAAAGCCCUGGGAGUCUAAGCCGUGGGACUCGGGAGUCUACGAACUGGCGGAGCACCACGUGCACAAGGAGCCAGAGCACGACCACAGGCACGAGGAGCCGGAGCACCACCACAAGCACGAGGAGCCGGAGCACGACCACGGGCACGAGGAGGAGCACCACGUAGUCAAGCACGUCUCGCUGCGAGACCUGCUGCCCAAGUGGAUCAGCCUCACCAUCGGGGUCCACAAGGACUGAGCAACCCCGUGUCCCGCAACUCGCAAUCCAGUCGGAACCUUCUGGCAGCUCUAUAGGCCACGGCCAGCCUUUCAGAUACGCCUGGGAUUCUAGACACAGUCACAUGACGCGUCGACGUGGACGCGCCUCAACCGUGCUGCAGAAGCAGUCGCACCUCCGGUAACCGGAGACCAAAGAAGGGAGGACCUCGAGCCGGGACCCAGCUCGGCGAGGCAGACUUGAAGUUUGAAUUCUUCGCAGUGGUGUGCACGGUGUACCCUCAAACUUUCGGGUGUCCACCGGACGUCCCGAGUCGCCACGGCCAAAUAGAGACUCGACGAAAACGCGAAUCCGCGGGGUAAAACCGCCCACGCCAGCCGCACCCAGUCACAAAGGACACAAAGCGGCAUCAGAGGACUGCGAACCGAUGACAACUUAUUCACAACAGCCAAAUAUUGAGUCAGGGUUUACUCUACGUCGUGUUAACUUUGAGUCUUGCGUCGAAACUUCCUUUCUUUUCGCGUUGCGUAUGAAAUACGCACACACUGCCAAAUCCUGCUACGCAAUGGCCAGACACCAGGACACUGUGAGGAACGAAUGGUACACCCUCGACGUACAUCGCUGAAAAGGCAAGGGCUCACGCUAGGUCCCUCGAGCUGAUCUUUUGUGCACUUCAAGUGGCCAGUCGGAGCUUCGUGAACGCUGAAUGUAGACAUUUCGCAAAUGACAGUGACAACGGAUAAUGUCACCGCGUAGAGUAUAGCAAAGCGGUUGUAAGUGGGGAGCAAGCUAUACCUCUGAAGCUAUUUAUAUGUUUCGUGACAAAAAAAAAAUAGAGUGAUUUCGCGUAACUCCACAUCUCACUUUACGCGAAAGGGACCAUUAAAGAACAUUUAAAUUUCGCACUUUUGCCAUGCUCAGGACAGAAACAUUCCAAGAAGCACAAAAACGCACGAACAGCAGAACAUUAUUUGCCCCCCCAAGAUUCUAUGGCUUCUUAAGAGGAGAAUAUGGCGGUAGCGCAGGCCUUCAGGCAGAAGCUCAAUUCAAGGGAUUGUCUACAGCAAAACGGGAGCCCAUAACAGCCUUGUAGCCUUCGAGUAAAGUGAACGAAAAGGCGAAACAAGAAAGAAAAGGGAACUCGCUAGCCUGUGCUUCGACAUCUAUCUAAACUAUGCGAAUAUAUUGUCAAGGUCUCUUUUAUUUCCAGAAUUUUCUUACCUGUUUCUCCGUCAAUGACUGUGCCGGCGCAGUAAAGAUUACGGCGCUUAUCCUACAUUCACCACAUUUUACCCUAUUACUUAUUCUGCUGUGAUAACAAACACCCUAUUUGGUGAAAGGUUAGUGCUUCAAAUCCGUACUAUUUCACCUGUAUCUGUACCUGACAUGUCGACACAUUUUGCAGGGCCUUAUGUACUAACAAUGAAACAACAUACAGAACCUGAGCGCAAGAAAGUCGACAAUGUGCGAUGACAGAGGCGUCGUUGUGCCGACGUGAUGCGCCUUAAAGACAGCCACCCGCGCGGUUAUUGCUAGCCUGUUAUGUACGUACGCUAAUCGCGCUAACGAGACAACUACAGCGUGCAAUCAACGGCAGCAGAGCGGACUGCCAUGCCAAGCCUUCGCCGUGUGCGCCGCUGUUAAAAGGCUCGCUCUGAAAGCCCCAUUCACGUAGAAACAAACGCGGCAUUGAGAAACUGUGUUAAUGUUUACAUACGCUAUAUGAACAGUUUCCCGACGAACGCCCAUCGUAUGCGUCUCACUUUAUUUUUUUCUUUUUUUCCCCCCACUCUUGACUAGUCCUUUGCUCACGAUU